rnacentral:rRNA from 1 species
UACGGGGGGAGCAAGCGUUGUUCGGAUUUACUGGGCGUAAAGGGCGCGUAGGCGGCCUGAUAAGUAGGGGGUGAAAUCCUGCGGCUUAACCGCAGGGCUGCCUUCUAAACUGUCAGGCUCGAGCACAGUAGAGGCAGGUGGAAUUCCCGGUGUAGCGGUGGAAUGCGUAGAGAUCGGGAAGAACAUCAGUGGCGAAGGCGGCCUGCUGGGCUGUUGCUGACGCUGAGGCGCGACAGCGUGGGGAGCAAACAGG